UACGAAGGGGGCUAGCGUUGCUCGGAAUCACUGGGCGUAAAGCGCACGUAGGCGGCUUUUUAAGUCAGAGGUGAAAUCCUGGAGCUCAACUCCAGAACUGCCUUUGAUACUGGAGAGCUAGAGUCCGGAAGAGGUGAGUGGAACUGCGAGUGUAGAGGUGAAAUUCGUAGAUAUUCGCAAGAACACCAGUGGCGAAGGCGGCUCACUGGUCCGGUACUGACGCUGAGGUGCGAAAGCGUGGGGAGCAAACAGG
rnacentral:rRNA from 1 species